UGUAGGGUGAGGUGUAGGCAAAUCCGCACCUCAUGUGCCUGAGACCUGACACGGACCCGUAAGGGGAAGUCGGUGAUCCUAUGCUGCCAAGAAAAUCUUCUAGCGAGGUUCUAGCCGCCCGUACCCCAAACCGACUCAGGUGGUUAGGUAGAGAAUACCAAGGCGAUCGAGUGAAUCGUGGUUAAGGAAUUCGGCAAAAUACCCCCGUAACUUCGGGAGAAGGGGGGCCCAGAGGGUGUCGGGACUUGCUCCCCGAGCCUGAACGGCCGCAGAGACCAGGGAGAAGCGACUGUUUACUAAAAACACAGGUCCGUGCCAAGUCGCAAGACGAUGUAUACGGACUGACGCCUGCCCGGUGCUGGAACGUUAAGGGGACCGGUUAGCCUCACGGCGAAGCUGAGAACUUAAGCGCCAGUAAACGGCGGUGGUAACUAUAACCAUCCUAAGGUAGCGAAAUUCCUUGUCGGGUAAGUUCCGACCUGCACGAAUGGCGUAACGACUUCUCCACUGUCUCAACCACGAACUCGGCGAAAUUGCACUACGAGUAAAGAUGCUCGUUACGCGCAGAAGGACGGAAAGACCCCGGGACCUUUACUACAGCUUGGUAUUGGUGUUCGGUACGGCUUGUGUAGGAUAGGUGGGAGACUGUGAAGCUGACACGCCAGUGUCGGUGGAGUCAACGUUGAAAUACCACUCUGGUCGUUCUGGAUAUCUAACCUAGGUCCGUAAUCCGGAUCAGGGACAGUGCCUGGUGGGUAGUUUAACUGGGGCGGUUGCCUCCUAAAAGGUAACGGAGGCGCCCAAAGGUUCCCUCAGCCUGGUUGGCAAUCAGGUUUCGAGUGUAAGUGCACAAGGGAGCUUGACUGUGAGACUGACAAGUCGAACAGGGACGAAAGUCGGGACUAGUGAUCCGGCGGUGGCUUGUGGAAGCGCCGUCGCUCAACGGGUAAAAGGUACCCCGGGGAUAACAGGCUGAUCUUGCCCAAGAGUCCAUAUCGACGGCAUGGUUUGGCACCUCGAUGUCGGCUCGUCGCAUCCUGGGGCUGGAGUGGGUCCCAAGGGUUGGGCUGUUCGCCCAUUAAAGCGGUACGCGAGCUGGGUUUAGAACGUCGUGAGACAGUUCGGUCCCUAUCCUCUGCGCGCGCAGGAAACUUGAGAAGGGCUGUCCCUAGUACGAGAGGACCGGGAUGGACGAACCUCUGGUGUGUCAGUUGUUCUGCCAAGAGCACCGCUGAUUAGCUACGUUCGGGAGUGAUAACCGCUGAAAGCAUCUAAGCGGGAAGCAUGCUUCAAGAUGAGGUUUCCAUGGGGUUUACCCCGAGAGGCUCCCAGCUAGACUACUGGGUUGAUAGGCCGGAUGUGGAAGUGCGGUAACGCAUGGAGCUGACCGGUACUAAUAAGCCGAUAACUUGAC
rnacentral:rRNA from 1 species